CUGUGCUUGGCCCUGUGGACCUUGAGGUCCAGCAGCAGAUGUGGAGACAGCAGCCUAAUGGACUCUAACCCAUUUCCGCAGUUGCAUGAGUUUCUACCUCUGAGGGAAGGCAGCUGCCCUGUCCUGAGAACCUUCAGCCAGUGCUCUGAAGUCACCAUGAGCUAGACCACUCAUCUGAACCAACCCCAAAGUCCUGACUCUCAGAAACUGCUUCCUGUCUGCCGUGUGUGAGCAGCUGGUCCUCUGCCCCGCCCCUCUGCCAUGCCUCCCUGCCUUGGAGCCAACCAACUAUUGAUUGAAAC